rnacentral:rRNA from 1 species
CCUACGGGAGGCAGCAGUGGGGAAUAUUGGACAAUGGGGGCAACCCUGAUCCAGCCGUGCCGCGUGAGUGAUGAAGGCCUUAGGGUUGUAAAGCUCUUUCGCCCGCGAAGAUAAUGACGGUAGCGGGAGAAGAAGCCCCGGCCAACUACGUGCCAGCAGCCGCGGUAAUACGUAGGGUGCGAGCGUUGUCCGGAAUUACUGGGCGUAAAGAGCUCGUAGGUGGUUUGUCGCGUUGUUCGUGAAAACUCACAGCUUAACUGUGGGCGUGCGGGCGAUACGGGCAGACUGGAGUACUGCAGGGGAGACUGGAAUUCCUGGUGUAGCGGUGGAAUGCGCAGAUAUCAGGAGGAACACCGGUGGCGAAGGCGGGUCUCUGGGCAGUAACUGACGCUGAGGAGCGAAAGCGUGGGGAGCGAACAGGAUUAGAUACCCUGGUAGUCCACGCCGUAAACGGUGGGUACUAGGUGUGGGUUUCCUUCCUUGGGAUCCGUGCCGUAGCUAACGCAUUAAGUACCCCGCCUGGGGAGUACGGCCGCAAGGCUAAAACUCAAAGGAAUUGACGG